rnacentral:sRNA from 1 species
CAGGCGAUCAACAAUAUAAAAUCAACGG